GAGAGAGAGAGAGAAAUUGCGGAAGUGCGAGAGAGAAGAGAAGAUGCUGAUAGUGGGUCACGUGGACCGCCGCGGUAGACCAAAAGAGAAUGACGGUAUGAGCGGAACUUUUCCGCGUUCCUCAGACUGCAGAAGUAUGAAUAUCAACAUGGUUUGCCGGUUAUCGUCUGGUGAUAUGCGUUACUGCCGUUGGCCACUCGGCAUCCUUCGACGACGCGCGAUAACGUAGCGCUCAGUACUACUUGUCGUGCGAAUUAAUCCGGGGUAACUCGUAAUUGAAGAGAAAAUCGUUACAUCGUAGCCGACAAAGAAUUCCUGAAGUAUCACAAAGUCGUUCAUUGUAUGUCACGGCGAAUAUAAAAUUUUGUACGACAGUGUGUGAUAAUAAAGUUACACCGUUCUUUAA